rnacentral:lncRNA from 1 species
AAAUGGUUUCAUUGUUCUUCUGGUAAAAUUCUAUAGAACUCUCUUAUUUAGAAUUUACAGAUAUUAUAUAUUAAUGCCUGAACAUGCCUUCGCAUCCAGUUUCAUUGAGGAUGGUUUGAGAGUAUCUGCUUAACGUUUUAUCUUGAUAGGCCAGCCAAUUUAAUUUAGGCCCUGUUUGUGGCCCUUUAAGUUCAAAAAUUGGAGUAUGGAAUAGUGAUUGAUGUUGAAAUGUGUGGUUAAAAAAGAAUGAAAACUUUUUGAUUCAUGUGUAAUAUUAUUUUAAUGAAGAAUGUGUGGUUGAAAAUGAGUAUUGUAGAAAAAAUAAUGUGGUAGAAUGUGGGAAAAUGGUUGACAAACAAGGGCUUACCUGUUUCAAACUAGGCAAGUAAUAAAUAAUCUGUUGAUUAUAAGAUCAUUUGUAUCCGUCUCUAUUAGUCUGUCAAGUUCUUUUGUAAGAUUGCAAUGAUUUUCACUGUUUGUUGCUGCUUAUUGUUUAUCCAGGAAAGAUGGUCAUGUCUGGUAGCCCAAUAAAACAGCAUUCCUUGAAAGCAUCACAUUUUUUUUUGCAAUGUAUUUGGCUAUUUAGGGCUGAUUGUUUAUCCAGGAAAGGAAAACAUGUCCAGUGGCCCAGUAGAAGAGCAUUCUACGAAUACAUCAAAUUUGCUUAACACUGAGUCACAGCUGACGGAAAAUCUGCUCUCCUGUAUCAUCCAAUUCCAGCUCCUACAGGCAUGUACUCUUUCCAACUUCAGUGCAACUCCAGCGAAGAAUGUUUCAGCUUUUGACGAGAACAGGGGGAUAGAUGGAAGAACCACAGGAAUACUGCCACUGGUUUGAGUAGUGGUGGAUAAGUAGAUGGGAUUUGUGAUUUCAGUGAGAGGUUGGAAGUUGAAAAUCUCAAAAUUCCUUGAGAAUUAUGUACUUCGACGCAAGAAAAUAUCAGAAUUUCAUGUAGGAUUUAAGGUGGUGUCCAGAAUUGUAUAGAUUCCGAUCACGUUAAUCAAAAUUGACAGACCAUGGCCAGUGGAUGACAACCUUGGACUUUUGUAGGAGAUUCAAGAAUGUUACUUUGAGAGGUGGCGUGGACCAUUUCUACUUAAUCUGCUUGUAGUGAAAUUCCUCAUUUUUAUUCCCUGCAUUUUUUAGUGCUCAGUUUUAUCUUAUAUACUUUGAUUAAUUGUAAUCACAAAAAGGUAAUUUAAAUAUAUAUGUUUCCUUUAUCCUUACCACGAUUCAAAAUAAUUUUAUCUAGCACAAAUGAUGUUUAACGCUAGACUACAAAAUAGUUGGGUUAUUAGUUUGUCAUAUAAUUGGAGCAUCUAACCCCUUCAAUGUGGUU